CAAAAGUUUGGUCCUGACUUUACUAUCAGCUUUAACCUGACUUAUACAUGCAAGUAUCCGCACCCCCGUGAGAAUGCCCUCAAUUAAACCCGUCCGGAUGAGAGGAGCAGGCAUCAGGCACCCACCCUAUGCAGCCCAAGACGCCUUGCUAAUGCCACACCCCCAAGGGAAUUCAGCAGUAAUAAACAUUGAGCUAUGAGCGAAAGCUCGACUCAAUCAAGGUUAUAAGGGCCGGUAAAACUCGUGCCAGCCACCGCGGUUAUACGAGUGGCCCAAGUAGAUAGGCACGGCGUAAAGCGUGCUUAGGGGAAUAAACAAAAUAGGGCUGAAUAACCUCUAAGCUGUUAUACGCUUUGAGACCACGAAAUCCCCUUACGAAAGUAGCCCUAGUAUAAACACCUGAACUCACGAAAGCUAAGAAACAAACUGGGAUUAGAUACCCCACUAUGCUUAGCCGUAAACAAAGAUGAGAACCUACGAGUACCAUCCGCCCGGAAACUACGAGCACCAGCUUAAAACCCAAAGGACUUGGCGGUACUUCAGACCCCCCUAGAGGAGCCUGUUCUAUAACCGAUGAUCCGCGUUAAACCUCACCACCUUUAGCCUUCCCCGCCUAUAUACCGCCGUCUCCAGCUUACCCUGUGAAGGUCAAAAAGUAAGCAUAAUGGGCACUCCCCAGUACGUCAGGUCGAGGUGUAGUUGAUAAGGUGGGAAGAAAUGGGCUACAUUCUCUAUCGCAGAGCACAACGGAAAGUAAAUUGAAACAAAUACUUUGAAGGAGGAUUUAGCAGUAAAAAACAAAUAGAGUGUCUUUUUGAAAUUGGCUCUGAAGUGCGUACACACCGCCCGUCACCCCCUCCGAACACCAACAAUUAGUAAUUAACACCCUAGAUCAAAUAAGGAGGGGCAAGUCGUAACAUGGUAAGUGUACCGGAAGGUGCACUUGGACAAAC
rnacentral:ncRNA from 1 species